CCUACGGGUGGCAGCAGUAGGGAAUAUUGCUCAAUGGGGGAAACCCUGAAGCAGCAACGCCGCGUGGAGGAUGAAGGUUUUCGGAUUGUAAACUCCUUUUGUUAGAGAAGAUAAUGACGGUAUCUAACGAAUAAGCACCGGCUAACUCCGUGCCAGCAGCCGCGGUAAUACGGAGGGUGCAAGCGUUACUCGGAAUCACUGGGCGGAAAGAGCGCGUAGGCGGGAUAGGAAGUCAGAUGGGAAAUCCUAUGGCUGAGCCAUAGAACUGCUUGUGAAACUGUUAUUCUAGAGUAUGGGAGGGGUAGGAGGAAGUCUGGGGGUAGGGGGCAAAGGCGGA
rnacentral:rRNA from 1 species